CCAGGGGUAAGCAACCUUUAGCACUCCAGAUGUUGUGGACUACAUCUCCCUUUACAUUGGUACAACAUUAUAAAUGUAAUGGCAUCAUGGAAGAUGUAGUCCACAACAUCUGGAGUGCCGAAGGAUGCCUACCCAUGA